rnacentral:piRNA from 1 species
GAGAAAUUUGUAGGUAUUUUUGAAGAAC